UGAACACAGCUGAUGGUAUCUCUUU
rnacentral:ncRNA from 2 species